AACGAACGCUGGCGGCAGGCUUAACACAUGCAAGUCGAACGCAUCCUUCGGGGUGAGUGGCAGACGGGUGAGUAACGCGUGGGAACGUGCCCUUCAGUUCGGGAUAACCCAGGGAAGCUUGGGCUAAUACCGGAUACGUGCGAGAGCAGAAAGAUUUAUCGCUGAAGGAUCGGCCCGCGUCUGAUUAGCUAGUUGGUGGGGUAAUGGCCCACCAAGGAGACGAUCAGUAGCUGGUCUGAGAGGAUGAUCAGCCACAUUGGGACUGAGACACGGCCCAAACUCCUACGGGAGGGAGCAGUGGGGAAUAUUGGACAAUGGGCGCAAGCCUGAUCCAGCCAUGCCGCGUGAGUGAUGAAGGCCUUAGGGUUGUAAGGCUCUUUCGUCCGGGACGAUAAUGACGGUACCGGAAGAAGAAGCCCCGGCUAACUUCGUGCCAGCCGCCGCAGUAACAC
rnacentral:rRNA from 1 species